rnacentral:tRNA from 1 species
GCCUCGGUAGCUCAGUUGGUAGAGCAGUUGACUCUUAAUCAAUUGGUCGUAGGUUCGAAUCCUACCCGAGGCACCA